CUCAUUAUAAACAUCUAUGAAGUCUUGCUCUUUUAUCCACGGGGAUACUGCUUGAGGAUAAAUCCCCGGAGCUUCUAGCUGUGAACUGCGGGAUUCUGGUUGCUGAUGCCAGCCACGCGGAGUAGUCCCUACAUUUGGAAUCCCAGCUUGAAUAAACUCUCUGUGAAAGACUUGGAGGGCCUUGAGUCUGCAAGGUGCUUUUUUUUCUGAAGCUUUGGUAGUGUAACUGUAAGAGUCCUGGAAUUGGAAAAGCAAAUCCAGAAGUUGAGUUCCAUGACUUUUUUGCUGUUUGCCUUUG
rnacentral:lncRNA from 10 species